CAAGGCUCCGGGAACGUGGCAGAAGGAGGCGUGGAAAGAAUAUCAGAGCUGAAGGAAGAGGGGCGUGUUGCGCAGUGCUGUCUUCCUGGUAGGACGUGGCCAUGGCACUCUUGACCUCACAGCGGUUGCCAUUCCUGAGCUUCUUGAGGACGCACAGGUAUCCCUGAGGUACCACCAAGAAGGCGGCCAUGGCACCCACUGCGCUAGCAUGCUGGAACUGCUGGAGAAGCUGAGUGGACUCUGAGUUGUCUACAAAGGACGUUGUGCAGUGACCUCAGGCCUCUGUACGAGGUGGGAACGGGAGUCCUCUCCAUCACAGCCAAGGAUGGCAGGCCUGAGGAAGCCAAGUCGCUUACCCAGAGUCCCAUGUCCAGGAAGAGUUGGAGUCGA